rnacentral:rRNA from 1 species
GACGAACGCUGGCGGCGUGCUUAACACAUGCAAGUCGAACGGAAAGGCCCUGCUUUUGUGGGGUGCUCGAGUGGCGAACGGGUGAGUAACACGUGAGUAACCUGCCCUUGACUUUGGGAUAACUUCAGGAAACUGGGGCUAAUACCGGAUAGGAGCUCCUGCUGCAUGGUGGGGGUUGGAAAGUUUCGGCGGUUGGGGAUGGACUCGCGGCUUAUCAGCUUGUUGGUGGGGUAGUGGCUUACCAAGGCUUUGACGGGUAGCCGGCCUGAGAGGGUGACCGGCCACAUGGGAACUGAGAUACGGCCCAGACUCCUACGGGAGGCAGCAGUGGGGAAUAUUGCACAAGGGGCGGAAGCCUGAUGCAGCAACGCCGCGUGCGGGAGGACGGCCUUCGGGUGGUAAACCGCUUUCGCCUGUGACGAAGCGUGAGUGACGGUAAUGGGUAAAGAAGCACCGGCUAACUACGU